AUUGUUUGCAGCCAGGUCCAUUCUGCAUGGAGUGCUCUCCCAGGGGAAUUGGGACAGGUCCCAGAAGUCAUGACAUCAUCUGAAACUGGCUACCUCCCUGGAAUCUUGUCUGGAUAUUCUUCUGCACUGCCCCUGGGGAGGCUGUAGCACAGUAGUUCUGUUUAAGGGUGCGAGUUGCUUUAGAUGCAACAGCAACUGGAUUAAGAUCCCAGGGAGAUGCUCAGCGUUACUGCAAUGCUAAGAGAUCGUGUGUGGGCAUCAGAGAGCAUAGGAUCCAUGACAGAUCUUCAAGUGAAGAGAGAAAUGCAUUCAGAACCUUCGAUUUCAUGAUAUCAAUGAAAAAUGGAAAACUCAUUGUGACCUUACUUAUUCUUCAUGACCUUAUAACUUCCAAAAUAUUAAAGUUCUAUCUCUGUCUUGCCUGGAAUGUAAGCCAGUUCUUCAGCAUGGGCUAAGCAGCACCUGCUCUCAAGCAGCACACUUGCUUGCAGUGAAUGCAUGUUUACUGCUUGAUCUUCUCAGGCACUUUACUUUUUACCUCCUCUCUCUUUUAAACAGCUGAAGAAUAUACUUGGGAAGAAGUAUGUUGCUCACAAGCCACAUGGUGUGCUCUAUAUUCUUGGCAGAAUACCUGCCAUGCACUUGAUCACUAUGGAAUCUCCCUUGGCCCUUAUUCUGCUCCAAGAAGAGAAGAUGAUCUACCGUGUAACUGGAUAUAGGGGAAAAAAAGCUUGUUUGACAAAAUUGUAUAAUUCUAAAAUAUUGCAACUGUCAAAAGUCUCUUUUAGAUACAGUAUAUUUCUUCCUUGCAAUUUUCAUAUUUUUGAAGACACGUCAGUGCUGUCAUCCAAUUCCCUUUUCAUCUCAGGAGGCACUCUUUUGCUCAGGAGGCAGAGCACUGGCACAGGCUAGCCAGAGAGAACAUGGGUCUCCUUUGGAGAUCUUCAAAAGACAAACAUGGAAAUGGGCCCGUGCACCCUGCUCUAGCUGUCCCUGCUUGAGCAAGGGGUUGGAACAGAUGGAUCCAGAGCUCUCUUCCAACCUCAACCAGUCUUUAUCUCCUCCUGGAAGCAGGUAUGCGUUCCCUUACUUUUUCACGUGAGACAGUCAUUGGAAGAACAAUUGCUCCAAAUACCUGGGGAAAAAAAAAAAGAAAUAAAGCUUAUCUGUACAUCAUUUUUGAGGAUAUCUCUGAGACUGUAUUGGAAUAAGUCACUACUGCAUAGUAAUGAUCUUUUUAUACUUUAUCCAGGCCUCUCUUCAAUGAACCAUCUCUGAUGUAAAGAAUAUAAAGAAUAGAACUGAAAAGAUAACAUUUCUCUAAGGAAUUUAGGGGCCUCUUUACUAUGGCUGACCUUCCUGGGACGGGACAGCAGUGCUUGCUAUUACGCUUGCAUUCUUGGAGGUUCAAUGAUUUUAAUUGUACUCUAGUCAGCAUAUUUCUAAAUAAACAAAUACUUAAAUGUCUAAAAAAACUGUGGACUAAAACAGCAUUUCCUUUAGGAAAGACUUGGGAUGAAAAAUCUAGGAGAAAGUGGUAAUAGGAGGAGGUCAAGAUAGUACAGAAAUGAUGAGAUAUAUCAAAACUCAAACUUGUAAAUGGCUAAGAAUACUCCGUUGUGCCUUACAUAUUGCUUUCUAAAUGGGUUACUUG
rnacentral:lncRNA from 7 species